UACGUAGGUGGCAAGCGUUGUCCGGAAUUAUUGGGCGUAAAGCGCAUGUAGGCGGUUCCUUAAGUCGGUCGUGAAAAUGCGGUGCUUAACGCCGUAUGGCGAUCGAAACUGGGGGACUUGAGUGCAGGAGAGGAAAGGGGAACUCCCAGUGUAGCGGUGAAACGCGUAGAUAUUGGGAAGAACACCGGUGGCGAAGGCGCCUUUCUGGACUGUGUCUGACGCUGAGAUGCGAAAGCCAGGGUAGCGAACGGG
rnacentral:rRNA from 1 species